CAGUCGCCGCGGGAAAACGUAGGUGGCAAGCGUUGUCCGGAAUUAUUGGGCGUAAAGGGCUCGCAGGCGGUUUCUUAAGUCUGAUGUGAAAGCCCCCGGCUCAACCGGGGAGGGUCAUUGGAAACUGGGAAACUUGAGUGCAGAAGAGGAGAGUGGAAUUCCACGUGUGGCGGUGAAAUGCGUAGAGAUGUGGAGGAACACCAGUGGCGAAGGCGACUCUCUGGUCUGUAACUGACGCUGAGGAGCGAAAGCGUGGGGAGCGAACAGGAUUAGAUACCCCCGUAGUCCCUGUCUCUUAUAC
rnacentral:rRNA from 1 species